UCACCCCUCAAGCCCGGCUUGUUGUUGGACGUCGGCGGGGCCGUUUAGGCACCACCCGUCUCAAAGAUAAUGACGGCGUCUGCGAGGACUCUUGUACACUGAGCUUUCGGGCACGUACUAGGCUAGCACUCCAGACCCGGUCUUGGUCGCUUCGGCGACAACUUUUACCAA
rnacentral:misc_RNA from 1 species